rnacentral:lncRNA from 1 species
AAGCUGAUGAAGCAUGGGACCGACAGGGGGAGAACCUCGGUUGAGCAUCACAUCAGAGCACCAGCCAAGAGAAAAAGAAAGAUUAUCGGUGAGUGUAGCAUUGAUGCCCGAAGCCAAAACCUCAUCGUUCUCGAACCCCACCUCGAAACAACCGACCUAAAUCCCCUGCAACACCUUACCGAUCUAGGACUCCCCCACGAAGAUUUCAUUAUUUCAUUCUGCUGAAUACCCCCCAAGCCCAAAUUCUCAUGGAGAUAGAGCGGCGAUGCAUAUCGUAGCACAUCAAAAUUAAUCCUACUUAUUUAAUAUGUAGAUAGAAUGAAUCGAGAUCGUAUCCACAA